GAUGAACGCUGGCGGCGUGCCUAAUACAUGCAAGUCGAACGCAUUGAGAGAAGUGCUUGCACUUUUCAAUUUGAGUGGCGAACGGGUGAGUAACACGUGGGCAACCUACCUGAUAGCGGGGGAUAACGAGUGGAAACAUUCGCUAAUACCGCAUAACAAUAGAGAAGGCAUCUUCUUUAUUUAAAAGGCGCUUUCAAGCGUCACUAUCAGAUGGGCCCGCGGUGCAUUAGUUAGUUGGUGGGGUGAAGGCCUACCAAGACGAUGAUGCAUAGCCGAGUGAGGAGACUGAGCGGCCACAUUGGGACUGAGAACAGGCCCAAAGUCCUACGGGAGGCGGCAGUAGGGAAUCUUCCACAAUGGACGAAAGUCUGAUGGAGCAACGCCGCGUGUGUGAUGAAGGCUUUCGGGUCGUAAAGCACUGUUGUAUGGGAAGAAAUGCUAGGCUAGGAAAUGAGCUUAGUUUGACGGUACCAUACCAGAAAGGGACGGCUAAAUACGUGCCAGCCGCCGCCGUAA
rnacentral:rRNA from 1 species